CCUAUCGCAUAAUAUUAUUUAGUCACAAAUCACAGAAUGAGGUGAUAAUUCACACAAUCAACAUGAAUCAAAUUAUAACUUUGACAAGUUAUAGUUACGAUUUAUAUCGUUCCCCAGGGAUAUACUGUAAAAUCUAAUUUUGUAACUUAGUUUUGUAUAAAUUAAGAAAAUGAGGUAUUUUGCAUAUUUUAUUUUAUUCUAAUUUAAAUAAUAUUUUAAAACUAAUUAAGUUUAAAUUAAAUAAAAGAAAGGAAAAACAAUUGAAAAGAAUUAAGAAAAUUUGUGAGCGAAGAGGUGGGCGCUGAUCUCAGCGCUUGCGGGAGACUGGGUGUUGUGAUGGCUACUGCAGCUCACUUGCUAGCCAGCUGUUCAAUCAACCAUUCAUCCUCCUCCAGCCAGCUGCUUCAAAAUUACAGCAAGAACUCGCAGCAGGUGCGGGUGCGCCAAAGAAGAAAAUCUGGAUGGGUGUUCUAGUUUAAAAGGUUUCUCAAUCCCAUUUUUGUGUCUUCAUCCUCGUCUGCAAGAGAGAGAAAAGAGAGAUAAAUUAGGAGAGAAAAUAGAAAGGAAAAAAAAUUUCUAGAGAAAGAAACUAAAAACCAGAAAAAUAGAGGGUGCGUAGCAUACGCCUCUACUGAGAGAACCCAGCUUUUGCUGCAUCUAGGUGAUCUCCUUCCCUUCUAAUGAUUCAUAUCUACUUUCCCCAGCUUCUUAUCAUCUUCCAUAACCAUUUUAAAGACCCAGAAUUGCAUGGCAACUCCAAAACAUAGGCAUUUUUCUCUACUGCACCAGAAGCUACUCUAUUUUCGGUAAACUUAUGCUCUUUUCGUAGCUGCAGCUUCUACCUUCCAUUUUUGUUCAAUUUCAAGUUUUAGAUUAGUUAAAUAACAUCUUAGGAUGAUUAGGAAUUAAUUUCCCAUGAUAGAAACACUCCAGAACCUGCAAAUUUGAGCCGAAUUCGUCACUGACUCUGCACUGCCGCACAGGCGAGUUGCGGAUUGUGUUUCUUGUUGCAGACAUCUUCCAUUUGCGCGUUUUGCAUUCUGU
rnacentral:lncRNA from 1 species